GAAUGAUGAAUUUUUUAGAAAAUUACAGUCCGAAUUGGGGCAGCUUCGUUUUGCCAUGGCUGAGGAAAUGGAGGAUGGAGGACAGAUUCAUUGAGUUGGAGACUUGGAGGCAUUGCAGAAGGCUCUUUCAGAAGCAAUAAGGUAUGCAAAUGCGUAUGAUAAAAUGGAGAGUGAGCUUGUUAAAGCUAAGCAAAGUCUUACAAAGAUCUUGCUGGAGAUGGUUGAGCAUAAUGAGCUGAAUAUGUCUUUGGUGACACUACUCAAUGAGAACAUAGCAAGUGCACAUCAAAGUGAUCAGGUAUGAGAGGUUCAAGCAUUAUUAGAAGUUACUUCGUAGAAUGCAAGCCUAGAAUUUCAUUCUAAAAUACAUUAGUGGUGGAUAACAGGACAAACCGCAUUGAUUAGAGUGUAGCUUAUAAGAUAAUGAGUAGAUGUAUAAAACAUGAUUUGCCUUCCCAUUUUCUGAGAACAUGAGGGUGAUACUCACUUUAUAACACUUUUUGGAAGACAUAUUAGCUGAGAUUCUCUAGAAAAAUGUGGGUUAUGUAGGGAAGGUACUUUGGUAGAGAAACUUUAGGACCAGAAAAACUGAAUACUGAUGAUAGAAGAAAAUUGCAGAAAUUAUGAACUUUAUUCUAUGUUGAGGCAUCCUACUAAUUGAUUAUUGCUAAUGUUAAAUGGUAGUGUAGGGCUUUCAGUAUUAACUAUUGUUUCCCUGCAAUUCACCUAGAAUUGACCAAAGGGCCAGUAUAGGCUCAGCACGGCCCGACUUGGCCCUGUCCACCAAGUCACUUACUCUAUGAAUUAUUUUCUUUGUUAAACCAUAACCAAAAAACACAAGACUACGAGUGGAGCGAAAGAAAAGAGUUUGAGAGAUAUCUAAGGAGAUAGCAGUGAGUUUUAAGAAAGAGGGAAGGAAGGGAAAGUGGUACAGUGAAGGAGUGAGAAAGUAGGAGGAGAUUACUAAAAUUACAAAAAUUAGAAAAUAUGAAAGGGGAGAGAGAAAGGGAGUGUGAAAACAAGGGUCUGGAAAGAUAAAUAGAUAGAUUGAGGAUAUCAAGUAGAAAAAGGCCUUCUAAAAUUCACGAUCCGUAAAUAAACGAGUAACACAAGGAGAUAGAGCCUAUAGAGAA